rnacentral:rRNA from 1 species
AGGACGAACGCUGGCGGCGUGCUUAACACAUGCAAGUCGAGCGGAAAGGCCCACUUGUGGGUACUCGAGCGGCGAACGGGUGAGUAACACGUGAGUAAUCUGCCCUUCACUUGGGGAUAACGUCCAGAAAUGGGUGCUAAUACCCGGUAUUCACGUAUGACCGCAUGGUUGUGGGUGGAAAGGUUUUUCUGGUGGGGGAUGUGCUCGCGGCCUAUCAGCUUGUUGGUGGGGUAAUGGCUUACCAAGGCUUUGACGGGUAGCCGGCCUGAGAGGGUGACCGGCCACACUGGGACUGAGACACGGCCCAGACUCCUACGGGAGGCAGCAGUGGGGAAUAUUGGACAAUGGGCGGAAGCCUGAUCCAGCAACGCCGCGUGAGGGAUGACGGCCUUCGGUUGUAAACCUCUUUCACCAUUGACGAAGCUGCAUCUUUUGGUGUGGUGACGGUAGGUGGGAAGAAGCACGGUCCAACUACGUGCCAGCAGCCGC